AGAGUUUGAUCAUGGCUCAGGACGAACGCUGGCGGCGUGCUUAACACAUGCAAGUCAAGGGGGCCCAGCAAUGGGCAACCGGCGAACGGGUGCGUAACACGUGAGCAACCUACCGAACUGUGGGGGAUAGCCGGCCUAACGGCCGAGUAAUACCGCAUACGCUCUCAGAGAGGCAUUUCUUUGAGAGGAAACCUACGGGACAGAUCGAGGGGCUCGCGGCCUAUCAGCUAGUUGGCGAGGUAACGGCUCACCAAGGCAACGACGGGUAGCUGGUCUGAGAGGAUGGCCAGCCACAUUGGGACUGAGAUACGGCCCAGACUCCUACGGGAGGCAGCAGUGGGGAAUCUUGCGCAAUGGCCUAACGGCUGACGCAGCGACGCCGCGUGUGGGAUGAAGCUCCUCGGAGUGUAAACCACUGUUGCCCGGGACGAAUAGCUCGAUUAAUCGAGCCUGACGGUACCGGGUGAGGAAGCACCGGCUAACUCCGUGCCAGCAGCCGCGGUAAUACGGGGGGUGCGAGCGUUGUCCGGAAUCACUGGGCGUAAAGGGCGCGUAGGUGGUUUGAUAAGGGUGUGGUGAAAGUCCGGGGCUCAACCCCGGAUCUGCCGUGCCGACUGUCAAACUCGAGGGCUGUAGAGGCAGGCGGAAUUCCGGGUGUAGCGGUGGAAUGCGUAGAGAUCCGGAGGAAGACCGGUGGCGAAGGCGGCCUGCUGGGCAGUUUCUGACGCUGAUGCGCGACAGCGUGGGGAGCAAACAGGAUUAGAUACCCUAGUAGUCC
rnacentral:rRNA from 1 species